rnacentral:tRNA from 1 species
GGUGGGGUGGCUGAGUGGUCUAAAGCGAUGGUUUGCUAAACCAUUGCCCCGAAAGGGGCGCGCAGGUUCGAAUCCUGUCCCCACCG